GACGAACGUUGGCGGCGUGCUUAAUACAUGCAAGUCCACUGAAGCAGUGGUAGCAAUAUCGCUGUGGAGGUGGCGCACGGGUGAGUAACACGUAGGUAAUCUGCCUUCAGGUCUGGCAUAACUCCGGGAAACCGGGGCUAAUAGCAGAUGAUGCAGCGGCUCGACGUCGAGACAGUUGUUAAAGCUAUGGCGCCUGAAGAUGAGCCUGCGUCUGAUUAGCUAGUUGGCGGGGUAACGGCCCACCAAGGCAACGAUCAGUAGCUGGUCUGAGAGGAUGAUCAGCCACACUGGAACUGAGACACGGUCCAGACUCCUACGGGAGGCAGCAGUAAGGAAUAUUGCUCAAUGGGAGAAAUCCUGAAGCAGCAACGCCGCGUGAGGGACGAAGGGCUUUUGCUUGUAAACCUCUGUAGUGAGAGAAAAAAAUCCCAAUCUUUGGGACAUGAUGGUAUCUCAAAAGUAAGCCCCGGCUAACUACGUG
rnacentral:rRNA from 1 species